GAAUCUGAUUGUUAAGCUCCACCAUAUGUAUUUGCCUUAUCAUCACAAUUGUAUGUCCGUUCGAUAAUUUGCUAUAGAUACCCCUGGUUAGGAGUUGGCGAAGGGUUCGACGCUUGCUUUUCCUACUAGCCGUGCUUUGCUUGAAACCUGAAGCACCAGUCACUAGCAGUCAGGCAUUCAUUCCUACAUGGUUGGCCAAAUUAUAUCAUAUUUUGUUGCUGGUUGCUUUCGCGCCACGACCUUAAAAUCAGGGCGCCGGAAGUCCAUGAGCUGAUGACUGCUGAGAAGCCACACAAGACACAAGAACGU
rnacentral:sRNA from 1 species